rnacentral:rRNA from 1 species
AGAGGGCGUGAAACCGCUUAGAAGGAAACGAGAGGCGCCGCUGUUUGCCAGCAAAAUUCAACUGUUUGUGCUGCCUUGUGGCAUUGACAGUGCAUUUUUUGUUGGCUUGCACUGAGAGCUGUGUUGAUUGUGCUGCUGACUGCUGAAAGGGAGCCACAUUUGUGUUACUUUUUCUGAAGUCUAUCGUACUUUCGGUACAGUUUCUAGGCACCCUGCAUGGGUCGGUUGCGGACGAGCAUUUUCUCCUUUUUCUGUCUCUGGUUCCCAGCCGGAUUCCGGGAUUGGUGAUUUGUUACUCUAUCAACCGAGUAGGUGUCGUUUCGGUGUAAAAGUCGGCUACCCUCCCGACCCGUCUUGAAACACGGACCAAGGAGUCUAACAUGUGCGCGAGUCAUUGGGUUUAUGAAACCUACAGGCGCAAUGAAAGUGAAGGUCGGCUCGGUCGGCUGACACAUGAUCCAUUCAGCUUGCUGUUUGGUGCAAUGUGGUCCCAUCUUAGAUGCUUGCCAUCGAGGUGGAGAUUGAGCGUACGUGUUGGGACCCGAAAGAUGGUGAACUAUGCCUGAACAGGAUGAAGCCAGAGGAAACUCUGGUGGAAGUCCGAAACGGUUCUGACGUGCAAAUCGA